rnacentral:rRNA from 1 species
CUAUGGGACGCAGCAGUAAGGAAUAUUGGGCAAUGGGCGCAAGCCUGACCCAGCGACACCGCGUGAAGGAUUAAGGCCUUCGGGUUGUAAACUUCUAACAAGUAUUAAGAAGGUAUUAUGGUUAAGACCCAUGAUAUCAGACGAAGGUACAAGAUGAAGUCAUGGCUAACUCUGUGCCAGCAGCCGCGGUAAUACAGAGAUGGCAACCGUUGUUCGGAAUCACUGGGCUUAAAGGGCACGUAGGCGGAGAUAUAAGUUAAUUGUGAAAGUCCACGGCUUACCCGUGGAAAGUCGAUUAAAACUGUAUUUCUUGAGAGCAGUAGGGGUGAGUGGAACUUCUGGUGGAGCGGUGAAAUGUGUUGAUAUCAGAAGGAACGCCGGAGGCGAAAGCGACUCUCUGGGCUGUAUCUGACGCUGAUGUGCGAAAGCUAGGGUAGCAAACGGGAUUAGAUACCCUAGUAGUC